UACGGGGGGGGCAAGCGUUGUUCGGAAUUACUGGGCGUAAAGGGCUCGUAGGUGGCCAACUAAGUCGGACGUGAAAUCCCUCAGCUUAACUGGGGAACUGCGUCUGAUACUGGAUGGCUUGAGUGCAGGAGAGGAACGCGGAAUUCCAGGUGUAGCGGUGAAAUGCGUAGAUAUCUGGAGGAACACCGGUGGCGAAGGCGGCGUCCUGGACCAACACUGACACUGAUGAGCGAAAGCCAGGGGAGCAAACGGG
rnacentral:rRNA from 1 species